rnacentral:tRNA from 1 species
ACUCAAAUAGCUUAUAUUUAGAGCAUAAUAUUGAAGAUAUUAAGGAAAUGCAUAUUUUUGGGUA